UACGAAGGGGGCUAGCGUUGCUCGGAAUUACUGGGCGUAAAGCGCACGUAGGCGGCUUUCUAAGUCGGGGGUGAAAUCCUGGAGCUCAACUCCAGAACUGCCUUUGAUACUGGGGAUCUCGAGUCCGGGAGAGGUGAGUGGGAACUCCGAGUGUAGAGGUGAAAUCGUAGAUAUUCGGAAGAACACCGGUGGCGAAGGCGGG
rnacentral:rRNA from 1 species